rnacentral:misc_RNA from 1 species
GAUGAAGAACGUAGCGAAAUGCGAUACGUAAUGUGAAUUGCAGAAUUCAGUGAAUCAUCGAGUCUUUGAACGCACAUUGCGCCCCCUGGUAUUCCGGGGGGCAUGCCUGUCCGAGCGUCAUUGCUGCCCUCAAGCACGGCUUGUGUGUUGGGCCUCCGUCCUCCUCCCGGGGGCCGGGCCCGAAAGGCAGCGGCGGCACCGCGUCCGGUCCUCGAGCGUAUGGGGCUUCGUCACCCGCUCUUGUAGGCCCGGCCGGCGCUUGCCGACACAUCAAUCUGUUUUCCAGGUUGACCUCGGAUCAGGUAGGGAUACCCGCUGAACUUAAGCAUAUCAAUAAGCGGAGGA